rnacentral:sRNA from 1 species
AGAGUGUGCCUUUCAGGCAUCCUCUCCUAAAACUUACGGGCUGACCUUCGGGUCGGCCCUUUUUUUAUGAUUCG